GCCUUCAUAGUGCAGUGGUCAGCACAUUCGGCUCAUAUUCGAGAGUUCUGUGUUUUGAGUCCCGGCAAGGGCA
rnacentral:tRNA from 1 species